rnacentral:rRNA from 1 species
AUUGAACGCUGGCGGCAUGCCUUACACAUGCAAGUCGAACGGUAACAGGUCUUCGGAUGCUGACGAGUGGCGAACGGGUGAGUAAUACAUCGGAACGUGCCUAGUAGUGGGGGAUAACUACUCGAAAAAGUGGCUAAUACCUCAUGAGAUCUACGGAUGAAAUCAGGGGAUCGCAAGAACUUGUGCUACUAGAGCGGCCGAUGGCAGAUUAGGUAGUUGGUGGGAUAAAAGCUUACCAAGCCGACGAUCUGUAGCUGGUCUGAGAGGACGAUCAGCCACACUGGGACUGAGACACGGCCCAGACUCCUACGGGAGGCAGCAGUGGGGAAUUUUGGACAAUGGGCGAAAGCCUGAUCCAGCAGUGCCGCGUGCAGGAGGAAGGCCUUCGGGUUGUAAACUGCUUUUGUACGGAACGAAAAGCCCCGGGUUAAUACCCUGGGGUCAUGACGGUACCGUAAGAAUAAGCACCGGCUAACUACGUGCCAGCAGCCGCCGUAA